UGUCAGACAACCGCAUGACCAUCUCAACCACCGAGGCAGCUGAGAACGAUCCUCUACAGCCAGGAGACUCACAGCUUGAAUCUCGGCUAUUAAUCACGCUCUGAUCACACGAUCCUGGUUCAUCCACCAGGCUUUGGUUACCGUCUCCUUUUAACUCAAGGAUACAGAGGUACUUCCCUAUAGAACAGAUCCUGUUCAAGUAAGGUCGUAUCAUACAGUCUCAUUUCUUUGUUCAAAUAGUGUUCCAAACCUCUCACUUUAGUCCAUGUGGGACUAAACCAUUGGCAGUCCUCAUAAGACAUCAAGUUUUUUAUUUGUAUUGAUUUUGGAAGUUUUACAUAAGAUUACAAAUCAGGAGAAAGACUUCACAAUCACAUAGGCACAUAAAUACAGUCAAAAUUAUGAUUUAAUAGACUCUUCUGUAUUUGAGAUUGUAUCAAUAGACUUAGAACUCAAUCUGGAAUACAUAGCCACAUAGGCACCUCAUGAACAGUGUUUUCAAUCAUUUAUUGAUCAUAUUUACUCCCAUAUUGGUAAUACACAUAGAGGUCUCAACGUUAUAUACCAAUUCCUUCCAAAAUGUUGUGAGCAAUGACUUGACUAGCGACAUGGUAGACUGGGUUUCUACUAAUCCUCAGAUAUCUGAUGAUCAGUUGCGCACAUGAGCUCUUUUUAACUCUUUUUAAACUUGCCAAUCAUGCAGUAGUAUGGUUUUCUACCCAGCAACAACACAGGCAAGGCAACCCCAAUGAGUUGUGAAUCAAAUGUCAAUCUAUUGUCAAUCUAUCAUAAGCACAAUGCAACUGACUCUCAAAUUUAGAGUAGUUCUUCUCUGUUUACUUAAGUAUUAAAACCCUCAAUGGCCUUCGUCAUAACCUUGAAGAAAAAACGUGUCUACCAAGUGCCAACUAAUACCAUAUUCUCACACAGAUGAGUCUGAUAUGUGCUCAGAGUUUUGUAAUUAUGCUUCCAAGUAGACUAAUGAGCAAUGAAGACAAUAUGUGCAUAAGUAGCAUUUAGCCAAGAUUUUUCAAGAAAUUGUUUUUAUGUAGCCUGCAGCAAAGCAAAAAUACUCUAUUGACAGGCACCUCAAUUUAUUUGAAGGUAUUUGAGAUUAGAAAUGACAUGGAGUGGCCUAACACAAUAACACAUCAGAGUAUGAGCUAAUAUUUUGUGAUAUGUCCACCGUGAAGAUCAAUGUGUCUGACUAUACCUUUGGAAAAUUUACGCGUUUUACAUGAAAAAACAAUGUAUUUCGAAGGGGAAAAAAAAAGAUGAUUUGGGGCCUGUCAGACAACCGCAUGACCAUCUCAGUCACCGGGGCAGCUGAGAACGAUCCUCUACAGCCAGGAGACUCAUAGCUUGAACCUUGGCCACUAAUCACGCUCUGAUCACACGGUCCUGGGUCAUCAACCAGGCUUUGGUUACCGUCUCCUUUUUACUGAAGGAUACAGAGGUACUUCCCUAUAGAACAGAUCCUGUUCAAGUAAGGUCG
rnacentral:lncRNA from 1 species